GUGGGAACGGCACGGUCGCAAAUCUGACUCGCCGCCCGUUCUGGGUGGCUUGGGAUUGCGAUAGUGC
ncrna:unclassified sequences S15-Halobacteria ribosomal protein leader